rnacentral:rRNA from 1 species
GACGAAGGGGGCUAGGCGUUGUUCGGAAUUACUGGGCGUAAAGCGCGUGUAGGCGGUUGUUCAAGUUCAGGUGUGGAAAGCCUUGGAGCUCAACUCAAGAAAUGCACUUGAUACUGGAUGACUAGAGGACCGGAGAGGAUAGUGGAAUUCCUGGUGUAGCGGUGAAAUGCGUAGAUAUCAGGAGGAAUACCGGUGGCGAAAGCGACUCUCUGGACGGCAACUGGACGCUGAAGGC